rnacentral:rRNA from 1 species
UACGAAGGGGGCUAGCGUUGCUCGGAUUUACUGGGCGUAAAGGGCGCGUAGGCGGAUGUUUAAGUCGGGGGGUGAAAGCCCGGGGCUCAACCUCGGAAUUGCCUUCGAUACUGGACAUCUUGAGUACGGGAGAGGUGAGUGGAACUCCGAGUGUAGAGGUGAAAUUCGUAGAUAUUCGGAAGAACACCAGUGGCGAAGGCGACUCACUGGCCCGUUACUGACGCUGAGGCGCGAAAGCGUGGGGAGCAAACAGG